rnacentral:rRNA from 1 species
ACAUAGCGACUAUCGUGGCAUAUCAAUAAGCGGAGGAAAAGAAACUAACAAGGAUUCCCUUAGUAACGGCGAGUGAAGCGGGAAGAGCUCAAAUUUGAAAUCUUCAAGGUUCUACCUUGACGAAUUGUAGUUUAUAGAAGUGUUUUCUGUUAGUGGAGUGGCAAAAGUUCUUUGGAAUAGGACAUCAUAGAGGGUGAGAAUCCCGUAUUUGGUCAUUCCUCCUAGCGUUGUGAUACACUUUCAACGAGUCGGAUUGUUUGGGAAUGCAGUCCAAAACGGGUGGUAAAUUUCAUCUAAAGCUAAAUAUUGGCGAGAGACCGAUAGCGAACAAGCUACCGUGAGGGAAAGAUGAAAAGAACUUUGAAAAGAGAGUUAAACAGUACGUGAAAUUGUCAAAAGGGAAGCGUUUGACACCAGUGUUGUUUUUCCGAAAAUCAAUUACGAAUGUUUUGUUUUUGAGGAGUUAUGACUUCAUCGGCUUGCUCCUUUCUUUACGAAACUUUCUUAAUGCACUUUUCGGUUAACAAGUCAACAUCAAUUUCUUUUGUUGUAAAAGGGUAUGAGGAAGGUGGCUUUCUUUUCGGAGAAAGUGUUUAUAGCCUUGUGCCUCUACAAUCGGAGAGAUUGAGGUCUGCAGCGUAGAUCCUUCGGGGUUAGAUACGUUUGUGCUAAGUUAUAGCUUUUCAUAGACAACUUGUUGACUAUGUUUAGUCUUGUAGCUUACUCGCUUACGCUAUUUUACCUACGCUUAGGAUGUUGAUAUGCAUGACUGAUAU